UGCAAGCCACCCCUCUCCAUCCAAAAAAAACGUCGAGUUGUCUCUGGUCGCCAUUUUAUAUUCUGACUUUCAACAGUACAGUAUUGUUGAAUUUACGAUUCGGUUUUGAACCGUAACUUUUUUUCUUUAACUGUUUCAAUUAGAGUGGAAUCAUUUCGACCUCACACGAAAUGAGUUACGGCAGGCCUCCGCCUCGCAUCGAGGGCAUGGUCUCUCUUAAGGUGGAUAAUCUGACCUAUCGGACGACUCCCGACGAUUUAAGACGCGUGUUCGAACGUUGUGGGGAAGUUGGAGAUAUUUACAUACCACGCGACCGAUUCACCAGGGAAAGCAGAGGCUUUGCUUUUGUCAGGUUUUACGACAAGCGUGAUGCUGAAGAUGCGUUAGAUGCCAUGGACGGUCGCAUGCUGGAUGGAAGGGAGCUGAGAGUUCAGAUGGCUCGUUAUGGCAGGCCUACUUCGCCACAUCGACGUUACCGUGGGGGCAGAAGAAGAUCGCGUUCAAGGUCUCGUGGAAGACGCGAUAGUAGGUCUCGCUCCAGAGGGCGGAGAUCAGCAAGCAGAAGCCGAUCGAGGUCGGGCAGCAAGAGCUCAAGGGGAGCCUCCCGGUCUCCAGCUAGAGGUGAGAGGGACAACUCGAGAUCAAGAAGCAAAUCCCGCUCCAGGUCUAGGUCAUAAAUUUUGUCUGAGUCGGGGAGAGAGUCCGGUAGCCUGUAAGCAGCUCCUGCUCUCUGGCAAGGCGCAGAGUUGGGGUUUUGCGGUAAGAUGUUGGCAGUUGGUGUUUGAGGGAGCGGAGAUAUGGUGGCGAGAGAGAGAGUAGCUGAAAAACGAGAGCGAUCUAGAAAGCGGUAGCGGAACGAGCCUGCGUGACAUUGGCUGGAUGAAGGCGCUGUCUGGCCAGCCAAUCGAAUCGCAUCGUUUGGUGCCGUUCCUGACACAUCUAUGUGCAGCUCCUGCUCUCGAGUCUCUAGCCCCCCGAACGAGCAUUCCGGUGUUUCGCUUAAAUCGAGACAAUGGCUUGGUUGAAGGUCGAGCACAAGUUUCACGAAAGUAUUGCAAAUCUUUUUAGUUACGCAUUUCAUUUAACAAUUGCAUACCUACAACGGAAUGUCAUCAGGUAAGUUUCUUCGCUGAGCUGAAUGUUUUUAUUCUGUAAUUUAAAAAAAUUCUGCUACUGAAAAUUGAAAUGCGUGUUCACUUUAAACAAGCCAUGCCGUGAUUGGUUAAGGUAAAAGUUGCCAAUUUCAAGACGUAUAAAUAUAUUUAUUCCAGGAGGCCCUAGGUAGGUAUGUUUUUAUUAUUUGUAAAAACGCCCUAAAUGUACUUUAACAAAAGGACUGUUGAAGAUCAAACGCCUUUAACUAGCCAUCUUUGCGUUGAGUCAGGACCAACGAUCAGGCAUUCAUUUCAAGACCACAAGGAGUUUAUGGGCGGAAUUUUUAUAUUUUCUAAUUAUCACAACUCUUUCAGCCUACUAGUUCGUCUGGAUCGGCCCUUGGUAAUAUUUUGUAUAUACUGGUGUCGAGUGAAUAAAUCUUUUCCUGAUCA
rnacentral:misc_RNA from 1 species